rnacentral:rRNA from 1 species
GCCUACAUGAAGCUGGAGUUGCUAGUAAUCGCGAAUCAGCAUGUCGCGGUGAAUACGUUCCCGGGUCUUGUACACACCGCCCGUCACACCAUGGGAGUUGGUAACGCCCGAAGCCAGUGACCCAACCUUAAGAGGAGGGAGCUGUCGAAGGUGGGACCGAUAACUGGGGUGAAGUCGUAACAAGGUAAC